rnacentral:rRNA from 1 species
UACGAAGGGUGCAAACGUUGCUCGGAAUUAUUGGGCGUAAAGCGCACGUAGGCGGCUUAGUUAGUCAGGCGUGAAAGCCCCGGGCUCAACCUGGGAAUUGCAUUUAAAACUGCAUAGCUAGGGUGCGGAAGAGGGAAGCGGAAUUUCCGGUGUAGCGGUGAAAUGCGUAGAUAUCGGAAGGAACAUCAGUGGCGAAAGCGGCUUCCUGGUCCAGCACCGACGUUCAGGCACGAAAGCGUGGGGAGCAAACAGG